GGCGCAUUCGUCUAGUGGUCCAGGACGUCAGAUUCUCAGUCUGAAUAUCAAGGGUUCGACUCCCUUAUGCGCUACCA
rnacentral:tRNA from 1 species